UACGUAGGGUGCGAGCGUUGUCCGGAAUUAUUGGGCGUAAAGAGCUUGUAGGCGGUUUGUCGCGUCUGCUGUGGAAAAUCCGGGGCUCAACCCCGGACUUGCAGUGGGUACGGGCAGACUAGAGUGUGGUAGGGGAGACUGGAAUUCCUGGUGUAGCGGUGGAAUGCGCAGAUAUCAGGAGGAACACCGAUGGCGAAGGCAGCUCGCUGGGACGGUACUGACGCUGAGGCGCGAAAGCAUGGGGAGCGAACAGG
rnacentral:rRNA from 1 species